rnacentral:lncRNA from 1 species
AUAAUAAUAAUAAUAAUAAUAAAUCAAACAAUGUAAAAGUAUUUUGAUUUUUAACAAUAUUGAUCAAGACUUACCGAAAAAAAAAAACUCAAUAAAAAAAUAUUUUAUUUCUCAAUUACAUAUAAAUUAAACUAAUACAACUACAAUUAUUACUUUAAAGGUAAUAUUUUCCAUAAUUCACAUAUGUAAUUUUAAGACUCUUAAAGAAGCAUUUUUAAAACUUUGAAUAUUUGAAAAUUUCAAAACACAUGAAGUUUACCUUCAUUUUUCUAAGAAAUAUCAUACAAAUAUAGUUGACUAUGAAUGGUUUAUAUAAAAAAUGAAUAACUGAAAACAUAAAUCAUACAUUAAUUUAAAUUCUUACACCUAACAUGAUCAAAUUUCUGCAUGUUAGUCUUAAAUAUAUCUUAUUAAAAUUAACAUGCAAAAAAUAAAUUCACAUUGAGUCAAAACUUUCAAAUAUAAAAUUUCCACUCAAA